rnacentral:rRNA from 1 species
GGGUUGUGAGGUUAAGCGACUAAGCGUACACGGUGGAUGCCCUGGCAGUCAGAGGCGAUGAAGGACGUGCUAAUCUGCGAUAAGCGUCGGUAAGGUGAUAUGAACCGUUAUAACCGGCGAUUUCCGAAUGGGGAAACCCAGUGUGAUUCGUUACACUAUCAUUAACUGAAUCCAUAGGUUAAUGAGGCGAACCGGGGGAACUGAAACAUCUAAGUACCCCGAGGAAAAGAAAUCAACCGAGAUUCCCCCAGUAGCGGCGAGCGAACGGGGAGCAGCCCAGAGCCUGAAUCAGUGUGUGUGUUAGUGGAAGCGUCUGGAAAGGCGUGCGAUACAGGGUGACAGCCCCGUACACAAAAAUGCACAUAUUGUGAGCUCGAUGAGUAGGGCGGGACACGUGGUAUCCUGUCUGAAUAUGGGGGGACCAUCCUCCAAGGCUAAAUACUCCUGACUGACCGAUAGUGAACCAGUACCGUGAGGGAAAGGCGAAAAGAACCCCGGCGAGGGGAGUGAAAAAGAACCUGAAACCGUGUACGUACAAGCAGUGGGAGCACGCUUAGGCGUGUGACUGCGUACCUUUUGUAUAAUGGGUCAGCGACUUAUAUUCUGUAGCAAGGUUAACCGAAUAGGGGAGCCGAAGGGAAACCGAGUCUUAACUGGGCGUUAAGUUGCAGGGUAUAGACCCGAAACCCGGUGAUCUAGCCAUGGGCAGGUUGAAGGUUGGGUAACACUAACUGGAGGACCGAACCGACUAAUGUUGAAAAAUUAGCGGAUGACUUGUGGCUGGGGGUGAAAGGCCAAUCAAACCGGGAGAUAGCUGGUUCUCCCCGAAAGCUAUUUAGGUAGCGCCUCGUGAAUUCAUCUCCGGGGGUAGAGCACUGUUUCGGUAAGGGGGUCAUCCCGACUUACCAACCCGAUGCAAACUGCGAAUACCGGAGAAUGUU